UUGGGCUCUGCUCAGUACAGAGAUUUAGUGAACACAUAGCAUCACUCCAUUUUUUUUCCUUCAGGUGUGGAUUUCAUUCUUAGUCAUCAUCAGCUAAAUUUUGGAGAAUUGAGCUUCUGAGAGAAAUUUACCUUAUCUGAAUAAACCUCCAAAGAGUUGAACCAUGAAAAGAAGGCAAAAGAGGCCGCCCACCUGCUUACGAAACACCUGUACUGCCAGGAGGAGCCUCUGUCGCAUGGGCCAGAGGAAAUGAACUCCACCAGGUUCCAAGAUACCAAUAGCAGUUUCUCAGCUGAAGCUUCUAGAACUCAUGGAAUCUGUGGAAGCCUUUGGAUUAACCCUUGAAAAACAAGGUGACAGCAUCAUCACCAUUGGGGCCAAGAAGCAGAUGCCAGGGUGCAGGGUCUGCUUCUCUCCAGCAUAUGAAAAUAAAUGGCAGAGUUCAAGU